UGCGUAGGCGGUCUUUUCAAGUCAGGAGUGAAAGGCUACGGCUCAACCGUAGUAAGCUCUUGAAACUGUAAGACUUGAGUGCAGGAGAGGAGAGUGGAAUUCCUAGUGUAGCGGUGAAAUGCGUAGAUAUUAGGAGGAACACCAGUUGCGAAGGCGGCUCUCUGGACUGUAACUGACGCUGAGGCACGAAAGCGUGGGGGAGCAAACA
rnacentral:rRNA from 1 species